rnacentral:rRNA from 1 species
GUCCAGACUCCUAAGGGAGGCAGCAGUCGGGGCUCUUGCGCAAUGGCGGCAACUCUGACGCCGUGACGCCGCGUGCAGGAAGAAGGUUUUCGGAUUGUAACCUGCUUUAGACAGGGAAGAAACAAGACCGUCCCUGUAGAAUAAGCUCCGGCUAACUACGUGCCAGCAGCCGCGGUAAUACGUAGGUGGCAAGCGUUGUUCGGAAUAACUGGGCGUAAAGGAUGCGUAGGCGGUUAAACAAGUUAUAUGUUAAAUAUAUAGGCUUAACCUGCAGAAAGCAUAUAAAACUGUUUAACUAGAGUGCAGGAGAGGUAAGUGGAAUUCCUAGUGUAGCGGUGAAAUGCGUAGAGAUUAGGAAGAACACCAGUGGCGAAGGCGACUUACUGGACUGUAACUGACGCUGAGGCAUGAGAGCAUGGUGAGCAAACAGGAUUAGAUACCCCAGUAA